rnacentral:rRNA from 1 species
UACGAAGGGUGCAAGCGUUACUCGGAAUUACUGGGCGUAAAGCGUGCGUAGGUGGUUUGUUAAGUCUGUUGUGAAAGCCCCGGGCUCAACCUGGGAAUGGCAAUGGAUACUGGCAAGCUAGAGUGCGGUAGAGGGUAGUGGAAUUCCCGGUGUAGCGGUGAAAUGCGUAGAGAUCGGGAGGAACACCAGUGGCGAGGGCGGCUACCUGGACCAGCACUGACACUGAGGCACGAAAGCGUGGGGAGCAAACAGG